rnacentral:rRNA from 1 species
GUCCGGUGAAAUGCCAAUCGAACGCAGAGAUAGCUGGUUCUCCCCGAAAUGCAUUGAGGUGCAGCGUUACGUGUUUUCAUACGGGGGUAGAGCACUGAAUGGGCUAGGGGGCCUACCAGCUUACUGAACCCAAAUAAACUCCGAAUACCGUAUGAUUAGCGUAGCAGUGAGACUGCGAGGGAUAAGCCCCGUGGUCAAAAGGAAAAAAGUCCAGAUCGUCAGCUAAGGGCCCUAAACGGAAGCUAAGUGUGAAACGAUGUGAAUUCGCGUAAACAGCCAGGAGGUUGGCUUGGAAGCAGCCACCCUUUAAAAAGUGCGUAAUAGCUUACUGGCCGAAUGUGAAUUUGCGCGGAAAAUGUAAGGGGGCUUAAGCUUCCUCCCGAAGCUACGGGAUCCCACAAGAGUGGUGAUCGGUAGGGGAGCGUCGUAUAUGCGGUGAAGCCAAAGCGGAAGCCUUGGUGGAGCGUAUUCGAGUGAGAAUGCAGACAUGAGUAGCGAUAACAGGGGUGAGAAUCCCCUGCGCCGAAAACCUAAGGUUUCUCCGGCCAUGUUCGUCAGACGGAGGUUAGGCGGUCCCUAAGGCCAGGCCAGAAGGCGUAGCCGAUGGACAUCGGGUAGACAUUCCCGACCCAGGUGCAAGUGCGAUGGAGGGACGCCUCUUAAUGUUUCAUCCCACACCGUUGGUUGUUGUGGGCUACCGGGAUAACCCAGCUGUUUAAUAGAUGGCUUUUCAAAGGGUGGGGCCGGGGGGAAGGGAAUUCUUCGGAUGAACCGAACUGAAACAAAGGGGGGCCGAGAAAAGCUUCUAAGCAUAACUUGUAUCUGACCGUACUGUAAACCGACACAGGUAGGUGAGUCGAGGAGACUCAGGCGUUCGAGAGAACUCUCGUUAAGGAACUAGGCAAAUGGGCCCCGUAACUUUGGAAUAAGGGGCGCCCCGCAAGGGGCCGCAGCAAAGCAUCCCAGGCGACUGUUUACCAAAAACACAGGUCUCUGCUAAGGCGAAAGCCGAUGUAUAGGGGCUGACGCCUGCCCAAUGCUCGUAGAUUAAUCGGAGAUGUCAGGGUAACCGAAGCAUUGAAGUGAAGUCCGAGUGAAUGGCGGCCGUAACUCUAACGGUCCUAAGGUAGCGAAAUUCCUUGUCGGCUAAAUACCGACCCGCAUGAAAGGCGUAACGACUUGGGAACUGUCUCAACGAGAAGCUCGGUGAAAAUGUAGCACCCGUGAAGAUGCGGGUUACGCGCAGUAGGACGGAAAGACCCCGUGGAGCUUUACUACACCUUCGGAUUGUUGUUUGGAUGUAGAUGUAGAGCGUAGGUGGGAGCUUCGGCACCAAUGGAACACCACCCUUCUACAUCUGGAUAACUAACUUGGCCCGUAAUCCGGGUCGAAGACACUCCGUGGCGGGUAGUUUGACUGGGGCGGUCGCCUCCCAAAAAGUAACGGAGGCGUACAAAGGCACACUCAGCCUGGUCGGAAAUCAGGCGUCGAGCGUAUAGGUAUAUAGUGUGCUUGACUGUGAGACAAACAAGUCGAGCAGGGACGAAAGUCGGUCUAAGUGACCCUCUGGUGGUGCGUGGGCACGCCAGGGUUCAACGGAUAAAAGCUACCCCGGGGAUAACAGGCUGAUCUUGCCCGAGCGCUCAUAGCGACGGCAUGGUUUGGCACCUCGAUGUCGGCUCGUCACAUCCUGGGGCUGUACAAGGUCCCAAGGGUUCCGGAGUUCACGGAUUAAAGUGGCACGCGAGCUGGGUUCAGAACGGCGUGAGCCAGUUCGGUCCCUAUCCACUGUGCGCGUAGGAAAUUUGAGAGGAGUCGCUCCUAGUACGAGAGGACCGGAGUGAACCGACCUCUGGUGUACCUGUUGUGCCGCCAGGCGCAGAUGCAGGGUAGCCACGUCGGGUCGUGAUAAGCGCUGAAAGCAUCUAAGCGCCAAGCACACCUCAAGAUGAGAUUUCCCAUAUUAGUAAGGACCCAGGAAGACCACCUGGUGAUAGGUCGCAGGUAGAAGCGUGGUAACACGUGCAGCUAAGCGAUACUAAUUGUCCGAGGGCUUACACU